rnacentral:rRNA from 1 species
CUAUGGCUUAACCAUAGAACUGCAUUUGAAACUACUAUUCUAGAGUGUGGGAGAGGUAGGUGGAAUUCUUGGUGUAGGGGUAAAAUCCGUAGAGAUCAAGAGGAAUACUCAUUGCGAAGGCGACCUGCUGGAACAUUACUGACGCUGAUUGCGCGAAAGCGUGGGGAGCAAACAGGAUUAGAUACCCUGGUAGUCCACGCCCUAAACGAUGGAUGCUAGUUGUUGGAGGGCUUAGUCUCUCCAGUAAUGCAGCUAACGCAUUAAGCAUCCCGCCUGGGGAGUACGGUCGCAAGAUUAAAACUCAAAGGAAUAGACGGGGACCCGCACAAGCGGUGGAGCAUGUGGUUUAAUUCGAAGAUACACGAAGAACCUUACCUAGGCUUGACAUUGAGAGAAUCCGCUAGAAAUAGUGGAGUGUCUAGCUUGCUAGACCUUGAAAACAGGUGCUGCACGGCUGUCGUCAGCUCGUGUCGUGAGAUGUUGGGUUAAGUCCCGCAACGAGCGCAACCCCCUUUCUUAGUUGCUAACAGGUUAUGCUGAGAACUCUAAGGAUACUGCCUCCGUAAGGAGGAGGAAGGUGGGGACGACGUCAAGUCAUCAUGGCCCUUACGCCUAGGGCUACACACGUGCUACAAUGGGGUGCACAAAGAGAAGCAAUACUGCGAAGUGGAGCCAAUCUUCAAAGCACCUCUCAGUUCGGAUUGUAGGCUGCAACUCGCCUGCAUGAAGCUGGAAUCGCUAGUAAUCGCAAAUCAGCCAUGUUGCGGUGAAUACGUUCCCGGGUCUUGUACUCACCGCCCGUCACACCAUGGGAGUUGUGUUUGCCUUAAGUCAGGAUGCUAAACUAGCUACUGCCCACGGCACACACAGCGACUGGGGUGAAGUCGUAACAAGGUAACCGUAGUGAACC